rnacentral:rRNA from 1 species
CGAACGAGAAGCUCCCUUCGGGGAGUGGAGAGUGGCGCACGGGUGAGUAACACGUGAGCAACCUGCCGGGAAGCCCGGGAUAGCCCUCCGAAAGGAGGAUUAAUACCGGAUGUGGCCACCCUGCGAUUGCAGGGGAAGCUAAAGGAUUUAUUCACUUCCCGAGGGGCUCGCGGUCCAUCAGCUUGUUGGUGAGGGUAACGGCCCACCAAGGCGACAACGGGUAGCUGGUCUGAGAGGAUGGUCAGCCACACUGGAACUGAGACACGGUCCAGACACCUACGGGUGGCAGCAGUCGAGAAUCAUUCGCAAUGGGGGAAACCCUGACGAUGCGACGCCGCGUGGAGGAUGAAGGCCUUAGGGUUGUAAACUCCUGUCAAGAGGGAAUAAGCAAGUGAAGGUACCUCUAGAGGAAGGGGCGGCUAAUUCCGUGCCAGCAGCCGCGGUAACACGGAAGCCCCGAGCGUUGUUCGGAUUCAUUGGGCGUAAAGGGUGCGUAGGCGGCGCGGAAAGUCCGGCGUGAAAGGCAGAGGCUCAACCUCUGGACUGCGUUGGAUACUUCCGUGCUUGAGGACUGGAGGGGAGACUGGAAUUCACGGUGUAGCAGUGAAAUGCGUAGAUAUCGUGAGGAAGACCGGUGGCGAAGGCGAGUCUCUGGACAGAUCCUGACGCUGAGGCACGAAGGCUGGGGGAGCGAACAGGAUUAGAUACCCUGGUAGUCCCAGCAGUAAACGAUGUGAGCUUGAUGUGGGGGGAUUCGACCCCUUCCGUGUCGAAG